rnacentral:rRNA from 1 species
AGAAUCAACGCUGGCGGCGUGCCUAACACAUGCAAGUCGCACGAGAAAGGGACUUCGGUCCUAAGUACAGUGGCGCACGGGUGAGUAACACGUGAAUUAUCUACCUCCGAGUGGGGAAUAACUGAGAGAAAUCUUAGCUAAUACCGCAUAACACUUACGAGUCAAAGCAGCAAUGCGCUUGGAGAGGAGUUCGCGGCAGAUUAGUUAGUUGGCGGGGUAAUGGCCCACCAAGACGAUGAUCUGUAUCCGGCCUGAGAGGGCGCACGGACACACUGGAACUGAAACACGGUCCAGACUCCUACGGGAGGCAGCAGUGGGGAAUUUUGCGCAAUGGGGAAACCCUGACGCAGCAACGCCGCGUGGAGGAUGAAAUAUCUUGGUAUGUAAACUCCUUUCGAUGGGAAGAUAAUGACGGUACCAUAGAAGAAGCCCGGCUAACUUCGUGCCAGCAGCCGC